rnacentral:misc_RNA from 1 species
ACUCGCUCCACUCCCGAAUUUGUGGCAGGGAAAAAACGUAUAUUUAACGGUAAAUUUAUCUUUCGUAGGGCGGCAAUGCUAGUUGUCGGUGGUUGCUAGGCAACGUGAACCCGCAAACAGAACGCUAUUCUCAAUUCUGUGAGCGAAGUCAAUGUUUUGGUAGAUGUCUUGUGAAUGUUGUUAUUGCUACAACGCCAGUAACGUGCAUGUUACACAUUUUAGAUUUUAAUUGGUGAAGAGUCAUAAAUCAUGAAUUCUGUAAAUACACAUCAUGGCAUACCAAACGGUCGGCCCAGUGUUGGAAUAUCAAAUUCGGCGCGAGUGUCAAGCGUCGCCAGAAGUGGUGUGGGGAGGCAGAGAAAAGUUCCAGAUUGCCCGUUAAUUGAAAGUCGUAAUUGGUUGAUACAUCUACAUUAUGCACGAAAGGAAUUCGGGAUAUGUAAAAUAUUAAUCCAAGAAGAACUCGAGAAGAGCAAAGGAUUCUCUGAAUUCGCAAACUAUAUGCAGGGUUUAAUACUGAGGCACGAAGGAAGAAUCCAAGAUUCCCUCGAGUAUUUUCAAACAUGUCAUGCCAUUAAUCCCAUGAACGUGGACAACAUCAAGCAGGUUGCAAGAUCUCUGUAUCUACUUGGAAGGCACAGAUUGGCCUUAGAGGCGUACCGAGAAGCAGAAAGUCUUGUUCUCAAGCCUGAAUGGGAUAUUUAUCAUAACUUAGGCAUGUGUCUCCUGCACCUAAAUGAAAGGGUUAAAGCAAAAGAAUGCAUUUCGAAGGCCAUUGAUUUGAGCCGCCAAGAAUGUUCCUACGUAGCACUUGCAAAAAUAUACCUGCUUGAGAACGAUAUUGGUGCUGCAGUUAAUGUAUAUAAUGCAGCAUGCAGCAUAUACCCAGAAAAUUCUGACCUUGCUACAACUCUUGGUUUACUUUACAUGAAACUUAGGGAGUAUCAGAAAGCAUUUGAGAAGUUGGGUUCCGCUUUAGCACAUAACCCAUCUUCAGCAAAGGCAUUGUUGGCAAUGGGUUCUAUAAUGCAGGACCAUAAAGACUGUGAGGUAGCACUAUCAAAAUACAAAAUUGCUACUCAGUAUGCACCUGAAUCAGCACCAUUGUGGAGUAACAUUGGAAUGUGCUUUUUUGAAAUGAAAAAGUUCAUUGCAGCCAUCAGCUGCCUUAAGAGAGCAAAUCACCUGUCUCCUUUUGAUUGGAAAAUAUUAUACAACCUUGGACUGGUUCAUUUAGUGACACAGCAGUAUGCAUCAGCUUUUCAUUACUUGUCUGCAUCGAUAAAUCUCCACCAUAGAUAUGGGAAUGCAUUUAUGCUGCUUGCUCUUACCUUGAAGAAACUGGGAGAUCCAGACAAUGCUCAAAAGGCUUUUGAACAGGCUGCACGCCUGGACCCAACAGAUGCUUCCAUACCUUUGAACUAUGCCAUAUUUUUGGCUGCUAAUGCAAGAAAGGAAGAAGCUGCAGCUCAACUGAAAAGCUUCCAAGAUAUAGCACAGCAAGGAACAGUUAACCAGGAGGCUUGCUGGUUUUACUGAUGUAGACUGGCCCAAACAAAAGAAUGCACAAAAGACUGGACAUCAACCAACUACAGCUAGCAGCACACUUACCAUAUGUGAAGAAUGUCAUCAACAGAAUUGGUAAACAUCUGCAUGAGUUGGUGUCCAGGCCAUCCUCUACAACACCUGCAAGAUUCAGAAUGUAUUAGGCUCGAACAAGGACAAGAUGCUUGAGGUUGCAAGCAAAAUGUUGGAAACACUUUCUGUAGAAAGUGCUGCUUCCUUAUCAGACAACAAGCCUGCUGAUGUUCGUACACCCACACCUGAUUACCUCCAUAUGGGUCCUGAUGAAGUC